rnacentral:rRNA from 1 species
AAAGGGGGAAGGAAACCACAGGGAUGCCUUAGUAGCGGCGAGUGAAGCGGCAAAAGCUCAAAUUUGAAAUCUGGCUCUUUCAGAGUCCGAGUUGUAAUUUGAAGAAGGUAUCUUUGGGUCUGGCUCUUGUCUAUGUUUCUUGGAACAGAACGUCACAGAGGGUGAGAAUCCCGUGCGAUGAGAUGAUCCAGGCCUAUGUAAAGUUCCUUCGAAGAGUCGAGUUGUUUGGGAAUGCAGCUCUAAGUGGGUGGUAAAUUCCAUCUAAAGCUAAAUAUUGGCGAGAGACCGAUAGCGAACAAGUACAGUGAUGGAAAGAUGAAAAGAACUUUGAAAAGAGAGUGAAAAAGUACGUGAAAUUGUUGAAAGGGAAGGGCUUGAGAUCAGACUUGGUAUUUUGUAUGUUACUUCUUCGGGGGUGGCCUCUACAGUUUAUCGGGCCAGCAUCAGUUUGGGCGGUAGGAGAAUUGCGUUGGAAUGUGGCACGGCUUCGGUUGUGUGUUAUAGCCUUCGUCGAUACUGCCAGCCUAGACUGAGGACUGCGGUUUAUACCUAGGAUGUUGGCAUAAUGAUCUUAAGUCGCCCGUCUUGAACCACGGGACC